UACGUAGGGGCCUAGCGUUGUCCGGAUUUAUUGGGCGUAAAGAGCUCGUAGGCGGUUCGAUAAGUCAGGUGUGAAAUCUCCACGCUCAACGUGGAGGCGCCACCUGAAACUGCCGUGACUCGAGUCCGGUAGGGGAGUGUGGAAUUCCCGGUGUAGCGGUGAAAUGCGCAGAUAUCGGGAGGAACACCAGUAGCGAAGGCGGCUCGCUGGGCCAUUCCUGACGCUGAGACGGCGAAAAGCUAGGGGAGCCGAACAGG
rnacentral:rRNA from 1 species